rnacentral:rRNA from 1 species
UACGAAGGGGGCGAGCGUUGUUCGGAUUUACUGGGCGUAAAGGGCGCGUAGGCGGCGGGUCAAGUCGAGUGUGAAAGCCCCGGGCUCAACCUGGGAAUUGCGCUCGAGACUGGUCUGCUUGAGUUCGGGAGAGGAGAGUGGAAUUCCCAGUGUAGAGGUGAAAUGCGUAGAUAUCAGGAGGAACACCUGUGGUGUAGACAGCUUACUGGACCAUUCUGACGCUGAGACACGAAAGCGUGGGUAGCAAACAGG